GCAUUAAUGGGGUAGUGGUAACCUGGGUCGUUGCCAGUACAAAUUACGUAAGCGGGUUCGACCCGCCGGGGGUUCGAUUCCCUCUUAAUGCA